rnacentral:rRNA from 1 species
AGAGAGAGACAUGCGCGCAUAUCAAUAAGCGGAGGAAAAGAAACUAACAAGGAUUCCCUUAGUAACGGCGAGUGAAGCGGGAAGAGCUCAAAUUUGAAAUCUUCAAGGUUUUACCUUGACGAAUUGUAGUUUAAAGAAGUGUUUUCCGCUGAAGUUUUGGUAAAAGUUCUUUGGAAUAGGACAUCAUAGAGGGUGAGAAUCCCGUAUUUGACCAUUAUUUUCAGCUUUGUGAUACACUUUCAAAGAGUCGGAUUGUUUGGGAAUGCAGUCCAAAAUGGGUGGUAAAUUUCAUCUAAAGCUAAAUAUUGGCGAGAGACCGAUAGCGAACAAGUACCGUGAGGGAAAGAUGAAAAGAACUUUGAAAAGAGAGUUAAACAGUACGUGAAAUUGUCAAAAGGGAAGCGUUUGACACCAGUGUUGUUUUCUCGAAAAUCAAUUAAAAAUGGCUCGAUUUUGUAUUGUUGAGACCUUAAAAGCUCACUGUACAUUUUUCGUGUCUUUUUUAAUGCACUUUUCGUUUAACAAGUCAACAUCAGUUUCUUUUGUUGUAAAAGGGUCAUUGGAAGGUGGCUUUCUUUUCGGAGAAAGUGUUUAUAGCCUUUGGCCUCUGCAAUCGGAAGAGACUGAGGUCUGCAGCGUAGACUCUUCGGGGUUAGAUACAUUUGUGCUAAGUUAUAGCUUUUUAUAGACAACUUGUUGACUAUAAUUAGUCUUGUAGCUUACUCGCUUAUGCUAUUUUACCUACGCUUAGGAUGUUGAAGAUGUAGCACAUCAU